rnacentral:rRNA from 1 species
AUUGAACGCUGGCGGCAUGCCUUACACAUGCAAGUCGAACGGCAGCACGGGAGCAAUCCUGGUGGCGAGUGGCGAACGGGUGAGUAAUAUAUCGGAACGUGCCCGGUCGUGGGGAUAACGUAGCGAAAGCUACGCUAAUACCGCAUACGAUCUACGGAUGAAAGCGGGGGGAUCGCAAGACCUCGCGCGAUUGGAGCGGCCGAUAUCAGAUUAGGUAGUUGGUGAGGUAAAGGCUCACCAAGCCGACGAUCUGUAGCUGGUCUGAGAGGACGACCAGCCACACUGGGACUGAGACACGGCCCAGACUCCUACGGGAGGCAGCAGUGGGGAAUUUUGGACAAUGGGCGCAAGCCUGAUCCAGCAAUGCCGCGUGCAGGAUGAAGGCCCUCGGGUUGUAAACUGCUUUGUACGGAACGAAAAGGUUUCUCUUAAUACGAGGAGCUCAUGACGGUACCGUAAGAAUAAGCACCGGCUAACUACGUGCCAG